UUACUGGGAAUUACAAAUACCGUUAUCAUUUGCAUUGUAUUUAUAAUCUACCAAAUAUAUCUAUUGUUUUUAUUCUCACGAGAAAGGCGGGAAAAGUUUUUGGUAUAAGUAAACCAAAAAGUGUGUAAAUUGGAAAUAGUUUUAGACUUUGUUGUGCAAAUUAUGGAAUAAUGUUUUCAAAAUUAGUGUGAUCCCCUUUUCAUUGGCAUUUGUGUAUUUUUAAAAUGAGAAUUGCCUGUAAAUACCUAGUGACAGUGUGAUUCUAUUUCAACACUGCUGCCCACGUGGGUGUCUCAAUUUGAAAGACGUUAUUUCAUAAUAUGGAUUACCACUGAAGAAACGCAAUGGAUUAUAUUUGCUGGAUACUAUACUAAUAUUAAAAUGAGACUAUUAUUGGGACAGUUACCCCCGUCUGUGUUAAGUGGGUGUAUGAGGACAGAUGAUAAUAAAGAGCAACCUGUAAAAGUUAAACGUAAAUGUGGUCGACCUCGCAACCCAAUACCAAGACAUAAACGUGUUUCACACAUCAAUGCUGAACACCGAAGACGGGGUAAAAUUCAGAAUUGUUUCCGAACGCUUAAGAAUAUGGUACCAAAAUAUGGCGAGAUCACGUCCGGUAGAGACAGCAAAUCAGAUAUUUUGUUCAAAGCUAUAGACUACAGUAAGAAAAUAUUAGCUGAAUCGGAAGAACAUAAAACCUCCAUUGAAUCCCUAAAACAAGAAAUCGCCAUACUUAGUACAGAAAUAGAAAGUUACCAAACAUUUUUACCAGAAGGAAAUUUAUUUGACGACAAUGUGUAUACUUUAAAUGAUAGAUUAGAAGAUUAUAUUCAACAACGAACUCGAGAUAAUUGGAAAUUUUGGAUUUUCAGUUUUUUCAUUCGACCCUUGUUCGAUUCAUUUAAAAAUUCCGUGAUAACCACCACGAUGGAUGGGUUCUAUCGUUCUGUUAUGGAUUGGUCGUGUGUAAAUCUGUCUUUAGCUAAUUUACGGACAGUAAUGUUUGGUGCUUUACGUCAGAUAAGUACAGACACAUCUAUAAUGACUGAUCCAAACUAUAUACCACAUGAAGCUCUAGCACAAACAGGAAAUAUAUUUGAUCAGAACGUUUAUGAUCUUAAUCCAAAUUUGAACCCUGAUCCCGAUUUUGGCCUUAUGCAAAUGUGUUAUACAUCUUUGUAGCAUUGUACAUAUGGUAUGUAGAGCGUAUCAUUAUAAAUAUGUAAAACUGAAUGACAUAAGUUAUAAUUAUGUGUUUCAUUGUGGCAGCAGGAAAGAAUGCAGUGUAUAAGGAUGCGUACUCAAUUGUGAUUUUCAUAUGUAAAACACUUAAAAUCAUGGUGCAGUUUGUCCAUGCAACGAAUCUGAGACCUGUUGAAGUCAAUUCUGUGAUCUAUCUAUAUGGUUACAAAUUACCGGAAUCCCAAGAAUGGCAAUUUGAUUAAUGGAUAAUAUUAAUAAAUAACAAUGGUGACAUGAUACUGUGAAUCACGAAUAAACAUAGUAAAGAACCCUUUCGCAAAAUGUGACUACAUGUUUAUAGAUUGUUCUUGCCUUAUAAGGAACAAUACCAAGAAGAAAUUGGAGACCAAGAUUUAAUAUGGACUUUAUAAUGUUUGGUCAGCAGUGCGUCUGUUUUUUGGUCCACUGCUAUUGAAAUUUAUUUGAUGGCUCGCGAACCUCUGCAGUGCAGUGGGACAUAAAAGAGUCAUCUGUCCAAAUUUUUAAUUUCUUCGAUCACAUUUCGGGAUGUUUUCUCCCUUUUCAGAGUUUUCAAUAGUUUUAUUUGGUGAAAAGCUCUUUAAUAGAUCAGCAUGAAGUCCAAAACAAUUACUAGAAAUUUGCUACUGAUGGUGUAUAUAAGUAGGAUAGUAUGUUGAUUGAAAGAUAUGACGCAGUUGACAUGAAUAUUGUUUUUUGGGAUUUUAAGUUAUGGAAACUACUUCAUAUCGCUGACAGUUUCUACAGCUGUUUUAUUAAAGUUAAUUAAAACUUGAUAAUGAUCUAUAUAAAUCAUCCGAGGUGCAUCUUCUUUUCCCUUCGGAAUCAUUCUUAUAUCAUAAUACUCCACAUAUGAGUAAAUAAAACCAUUUUUUUUUAUCAGUGCCAAAGGGAGAUAAUCUAUACUAUAAUUGCAAAUACGAAUUUCCAAGACUUUAUUUCAUGUCUUACUUAGAAAUUCUGGUAUUUUAAAUUCAAAAUUCUGUAAAGUUAAUAUAUUACUUACAUGCACGCUUCUCAAGUCCAUGACUAAUUAAUUGUAUCUGUACUAUUUGUGACACUAUUUUAAUAUGUUGAAGACUAUUGAAUUAUAUUUUAUGCAUUUAUAUAUUUACAUACUGAUAUUUAUCAUCAUUAAAUUUAUCAUGAUUGUUUUGUUUUGAUAUCAUUUAUUUUGUU